UUGGAAAGGUGCUAAUUUUAGCCUGCUAGCACUGACAUUAUAAUCCCACCCUCUAUGUCUAUGCGAUUCGCCGUCCAAAGCCACGCCUCCUCCAAACACGUGAACGCAUUUCGUAAACCCACGUAACGAAUGAAAUCCAUUACAUUCUUCUCGAAGCAUACCUGUCCAAAAGAAAGAGAGCAACCAUGGUAUCGUCUUUCAGACCCUUUGCCUGCCGGAGCCAAAGCUGAACCAAUGUUAAGUCGAGUUUUUUCUCUUUCAUGAUCGUUGACGUUUUUUUCGUCACUGCUUUUUCAAAAACUGACUUUCGUUUUGUUGAUUUACUUGUUGUCGGUUCCGCAGGAAAGUUUAAUUGUUGCUGAUUGUCCGCCAUUCUCCCUACAUUGACACAACGGACGUGAGCGCUGAUGACAUAUGAUGGCUGCUCUGCGUGAACAGGGUGCACAGUGAAGGCCUUAGACUGUUUUCGAGCAGAAAACCCAGGCAACCUGCUCCAAGUAUACAAGUUAAAUCCUGGGAACUAAAACAAACAGCUUGGAGAGAUAAGUGUUAAGACUUUAUGUAACCCUCGGUAUGACGGCCCCACUGAUGUUUGAGGUCACUUUCUGACAGCGUCGCAUCAAGAUGAGCGCUGGUGUCUCAAAAGACUUUCAGGCAUUGUGAUAAAAAAACAGGAUUGGAUGUAAUAUGCUUUCCAUGAGAUAUUUUCAGUUUUUGCUUUGAUCCAUUUACCCCGGGUCUCUAGUAAAUUAGAUCUCAGUAUUUGCAGACGACAGAAGUGUUUCGAGAACAGAGAUGGCUGAAGAAGAUAGAAGAAAACUGACCGUGGAAGUGAAACAGAUAAACAUCAAGAUUUGCAGCAACCAAUGAAUCUGCAGAAGAGAUACUUACUAACUGCUUGUCACUGUUCCUCAUCCAUUUUAUGACACCGUGUCUUUUUAGAUAAUUUAGCAUCUGUUUUUACGCAGCAACAAGUUAGUAGCAGACCUUGAAACUUUUAUUCAGAAGUAAGAAAAAAGUUGCAUUAAGACUGAGUUGAAAAGAUGAAUUUCAUACAUCAUUUCUGUUAGAUCAGAGAAUUGAUUAAAUCUCAGAGAUUUAAAUGUAUAAUGAUAGUGUUAACAAUGUCACAACUUGAAUGUAACUGUUUGAUCUGCUGUUCUACACUGAAUUCAAUUCAGAUAAAAGCCUCAUUUUCAGAGUUCUAAGCAGUAAUAUUUUAGCAUUAAAGGGAUAGUUCAUCCAAAAAUUAAAACUUGGACAUCAUUUAUUCACCCACAUGCCUUCAAAACGUUGUGGUUUUUUGUCCUUAUACACUGUAAGUCAACAGGGCCUCAAUGUUGUCUGGUUACCAACGUUCUUUAAAUUAUCUUAUUUUGUGUUCUACAGAAACAAGAAAGUUAUAGGUUGAUGAAAGAUUUUUCAUUUUUGGGUAAUCUAUGCUUUAAAUAAGGGAUAAUCCACAGCUAGCCGUGCAUUAAAGGGUUUUAAUGCACGACGUGGAGGCCAAGAACCACCUGCCGUGAAGCUUUGCCUCUGCGAAGUGCAUUAAACUCCUUUAACGCACGGCUAGCUGUGGAUUAUCCCGCUUAUACCGUGGUCAUUUGCCAAGUUAAAUCUUUUAUUGAUGUUUACAGUGAAAUUUUAGAUCAAACAGGUGAAAAUUACAGCGAUCUUGUCAGUUAAAUUUCAAAUGUAAUCAAACUUACUGGAGCUACCUGUGCGUUAAAGGGUUUUAAUGCACACACAGCAAAAUCGCCAGUGUUAAAAAGGGUCAAAUUAACUCUCACAGUGUUUAUAUAAUCCACAUUUUGAGAGUGUGGAUUAUAUGUACACCG